ACAUUUCACGAAGCAGAACGCAGUCUUCAGAGAUCUCUACGUGAACGCUGUGACACGUCUGACCUUCAGUCCGAAGAAGAAACCCAGGCCAGUCUUAAAAGAAAGCACAAACCAAAUCCCCUGUACACAUAUACGGACUCAGAGGAUGAGCAGCCUACAAAAAAACGGUUUCCCCAGGCCCCUCGAGUGAAAAUACCAGCCCUCACCACUCCGCAGUCUGCCCCCCAGCCCACUGAUAGCAACCAUCAUAAUGCCCCACCCAGCUUCCGGCACAACACACAAACCGACACAGCUUUGCGAUC